UACGGAGGGUGCGAGCGUUGUCCGGAAUCAUUGGGCGUAAAGCGCACGUAGGCGGUUUGUUAUGUCGGAUGUGAAAGCCCUUGGCUCAACUGAGGAAGUGCAUCCGAAACUGGCAAGCUAGAGUACUAAAGAGGGUCGCGGAAUUCCCGGUGUAGAGGUGAAAUUCGUAGAUAUCGGGAGGAACACCGGUGGCGAAGGCAGGUCUCUGGGCCACUACUGACGCUGAGAAGCGAAAGCAUGGGGAGCGAACAGG
rnacentral:rRNA from 1 species